UACGUAGGGCGCAAGCGUUGUCCGGAAUUAUUGGGCGUAAAGAGCUCGUAGGUGGCUUGUCGCGUCUGUCGUGAAAGCCCGGGCUUAACUCCGGGUCUGCGGUGGAUACGGGCAGGCUAGAGGCAGGUAGGGGAGAAUGGAAUUCCCGGUGUAGCGGUGAAAUGCGCAGAUAUCGGGAGGAACACCGGUGGCGAAGGCGGUCUCUGGGCCUGUACUGACGCUGAGGAGCGAAAGCGUGGGGAGCGAACAGG
rnacentral:rRNA from 1 species